CUGGGUUUAGUCUGUACUUCAGAUAAUCCGUUGGUUGGUGGGAGAGCAGUUGGACUCUUGUUGUUUCCCAUACACUUGACCUUUUUCUUGACCUGUUGGAUCUGGACAUACAUUGUGUGAGUCUGAAAUUGCACACAAGAUAAAGUGGUUGAAAUUGAGCAAAACACCAUGGGCAGCCACAUAGAAGAGGACUAUCUUGAAAAGGAUUUCAGGAUGUUAACAUCUCUAGGUUGUGGUUCCUUCGGGGAGGUGAAGCUGGCCUGCCACCUUCCCACACAUACACGAGUGGCUGUCAAGGUCCUUGAGAAAAACACCAACAGUGUGGCUGACAUCAGUACUGAAGUGAACAUCCUUCAGUCUCUGGAACACAGGAACAUCGUUUGAUUUUUUCACAUGAUCGACACACUGACAACCACUUAUCUGAUUAUGGAGUAUGUGGCAGGAGAAGAUCUGGAGAGCUGCCUCCAGGCACUGGGCUGUCUAAAGGAGGAGGAGGCUAGAGUGAUUUUCCCGGCAGGUGGUGUCAGCGGUUCACUUCCUCCACCAGAGACACAUCGCACACCAUGAUAUCAAAUUAGAAAACAUCCUAGUCGAUGAAGCAGGAAAUGCAAAACUUUGUGACUUCGGCAUGGCAAUUGAAAUCACAGAGGGGCAGAUGUUGGAGGAGAUCUGUGGCUCCUUGCUCUAUUGGGCCCCAGAGAUCUUGGCAAGAAAGACCUAUGAUGGACUGGCAGGUGAUAUGUGGAGCUUGGGUAUCGUCCUGUAUGUCCUGGUCACAGGGCACUUUCCAUACAUGGAAGAAACCCUUGAAGGUAUGCACAGGGUCAUCACCACCACAAUGUGUCCCAUUCCCUACCAUCUGUCAAAACCCUGUCACAUCAUCAUUGCCCGACUACUCAUGGUCCCUAUCUGGUACCGAUUCACAAUCUGUCAGCUUGUGGAAAGAGCAUGGCUGGGCCCAAUUCAAGAACAUGUACUGCCUGCCACCAAAGAAAUCCUGCCCAGGGUCAUAGAGACUAUGUGCACCAUCGACUAUACGUGUGAGGAGAUUGUUUUAUCCCAAACUCACAGGCGAGAGGAUACUCAUGUAACAGCUACAUGCAACAUUCUCAAAUAUCAGCUGAGUGGUGGAGACAGCCAUCAGCAAAAUCAGAUGCCCUGGUUAACCAACAGCCCUGCAGGUCCUGUUCACCUCCCUCUCCCCUUGAAGAGAGCCAGUGAUCCAGCACUUAUAACCAGUAAACAUCCUGGGAAGGGUCACUUUAAGGAGGAGGGUGUGGAAGAAAGAGGCAAAAGAUGCAGAAGCUACACCAUGCCUCACAGAAUCUCCUUCCUGGAGGCAAUGCCAGGUUCAGACAACACAGUCCCAGAAAGAGAUGCUCUUGUUGCUGAUAUCAUCAACACUGCUACAGAGGACAUUUCAGUCAACAGGAAUUCUGUUGACUCCCUGAUUGGCAAUCUCUCUUCCCCUGAAUCAAUCUUCGAUGCAACACCCAUGGGAUUUCUGAACCUGGGCUUCUCUGAAGAAGAUUCAUCCCAGGAGCCAGGAAUUCCCAGUGACCAGCCCCAGGUGGCACCCAUGACAUCUGGCUCCAGGUCAUUCAGGGUCUGGAAACUGGUGAGGAAGCAAAUUUCCCAUGUAUUGAGAGCACUGUGCUGCUGCUGCUGCUGCUGCUGCUGCUGCUGCUGCUGCUGCUGCUGCUGCCUGCCCACCCCAAGUGUGGAAACUGAAAUGGCCCAAUAGAAUUCCAGACCUGGUGAGGAGUGACUGCCACAGAAGUGAGCCAGAUCUGAUCUCCAGAGUGCCAGCUCCCUCUAACCCAGGGCAACAGGCUCCUGCCUGCAUUCAUCCUCCAGCUACUGGGUCUGAGCUGCCACUCUGCAUCUCUUUCAGCUUAAUCCAGCUUCAGAACUGUUGUGGGACAAUUGGGUGUCAUAAGGCACUUGGACCCCAUGACCCUCUACCUUCCCAACUUUGGUUGUGUUUGUAGGACCACUCACACUGCAUGGAAAACAGCAGCCUCCGCCACCAGGAGUAACUUCAUACAAUCUAGGCUGCUCAUCAUCUUGGUCACUUUAACCCUCCAACUUACUCUAUGACUGCCUUUUGGAAAGAACAGUAAGACCUGUGUAAAUCCUCUGAAGAAUGGAGAUCUGGGGUGCAGCAGGAGAAAGAUGCAGCACUAUUGGUCAGUGGAGUCCCGUCCUCCUCAGUGCUGACCUCCUUCAUCCAGGAUUCCCAUGUUGCUUCUCACCUCCUGAUCCAAGAAUCUUGCAUCAUUUUCCAAUCUCAUGGAGGGAUUUAUAACUGGACGCCUUCCAGUUAGGGAGCAGCUCACUGAUUUGGCAAAGGGAAAUGAACUCAACAGGGAAUCCAGGGUCCUAAUCUAUGUGAAUCAUGCACCUGAAGUGUCAGGGAUUGAAGUGAAGGUUCUUUCAUCUAGGAUGGACUACAAACAGCAGCAAAGUCCAAAUCUAACCUUCAGAAUAGAAGUCUAUGUCCACCAGUGAACAGAUACCUGGAGGAUCCCCACUGUAGUGCAGGCACAAAUCCCAUGACCUCAACCCGACCAAUCGGGAGAGUCCAGAUUUACUAACUGGUCUGAUUGAUUGAGUUCUUUCCAUUUGAGCCUUGAGAUUACAGCUGAGUACUCAAGGUGAGACUUGAUGCCUGUCUUGGGAUGUUGGAGGCAGGGCUUUCACUUUAAGGACCCCAGUGGCAGAGGCAGUACAUGAAGCCACAUAUUCUAGAUAGGAGCUUCCAGUUCUACUCAUCUGACACCCAGAUUCUGUCUGCUUGUCUGAUAACUUCCAUGACUCCUCUUGCUCAUGGGUCCCACAGUCCUUUUGUUAUUUGUCAAAACCACUUUGGGUUGGUUUUAGGCCACUGAAUUUUGUUCAUAUUCCCUAGCUAAUUGAGAGCCAGGGCUGUAGAUUUCUGGAUUCUUAACCAACUAGGACUCUGUACACCCCACUCUAGACAGUGCAUGAUGGUAGAGGUGAUCAGCCUCCCAAGAACAUUGUGGACCAUCCCAGGAAGACCACUGUCCUAUUCCAUGUCCUGAGUGUUCUGUUGUUCAUGUUCUGAUGCCUAUAACCUGCAGAUUUUGCAUAUGAAAAAGAAAGUGACCUUUAUCUUUGAGACAAGCUUGUUACACGCAAUACAGUCAUCCUCAGUUGUAUCUGUUUUCUGAAAAGUGUGUAAAUUUCACUCUUUGGGUGAUGAGCUCUCUACAUCAGGAGACACAGGGUAGCGACUUACAGGUGUGGCCUGAGACAGCAGAAGCAGGAGCUCUGCAGGAAGUCCAGAUGGCAGUGUGCCCACUUCCCCAGCAUGAAGGGUCUGUGUCCAGCACAGGAGGAGGAAAGUGACAGCAAGCUGGAGGAAAAUGGGUACCACUUUGGAUGGAAUGCUGGGACAUUGCUCCACUUUGGAAAUCUGCAGGUUCUGCUGGAUAUGUACAGACAAAGCUCAUCUUCACCAUAUGUGCAUCCUGUCUCAUCUAGG